AACGAACGCUGGCGGCAGGCCUAACACAUGCAAGUCGAACGCAUCGCAAGAUGAGUGGCGCACGGGUGAGUAACACGUGGGAAUGUAUCCUUUGGUUCGGAAUAACGUCUGGAAACGGACGCUAAUACAGGAUGAGCCCUUAGGGGGAAAGAUUUAUCGCCGAAGGAGCAACCCGCGUCUGAUUAGGUAGUUGGUGGGUAAAGGCCUACCAAGCCGACGAUCAGUAGCUGGUCUGAGAGGAUGAUCAGCCACACUGGGACUGAGACACGGCCCAGACUCCUACGGGAGGCAGCAGUGGGGAAUAUUGGACAAUGGGCGCAAGCCUGAUCCAGCCAUGCCGCGUGAGUGAUGAAGGCCUUCGGGUUGUAAAGCUCUUUCGCACACGACGAUGAUGACGGUAGUGUGAGAAGAAGCCCCGGCUAACUUCGUGCCAGCCGCCGCGGUAAGAC
rnacentral:rRNA from 1 species